rnacentral:lncRNA from 1 species
AGAAAAUCUAUAUGUUGGGGGUUUUCUGGCUAGCUAAAAAUGUGUGAGAAAUGAUGAAUCCAUCUGAUUGCAGCCUAUUUAAUGUUUAAUACCUUCAUUAAAAAAAAAGGUUGUUGACAGUGCUUUGACUAUCUUGCAGAUUAUAAUGGCAAAACCAGCAGGUGGCCCUAGUGAGAGAGAUCAGCAUGCAGGGAUGGAUGAGGACUAAUUUUGUGUGUAUGACAAUUGACUAUCUUUGCUUGUAUUGCUCUAUGUUAGGGAUCUUUUGUUCCAUUUUAGUAACAAUUUUGUUUAGGAGAAAAAGAAACAUAUUGCAGUUCAUGCUUUGUAAAUGCCACUCUUCUGUUAUGAUGGACACGUGGUAUGCCCUUGUUGGGUAGGUUUUGGAUUGAAACCAUGGUCGAGUGCUUGAGCCAUGUUUAGUGUGAAGCUUGAAUGGAUUUUCUUUUCUGUUGUAUUUGGCCCUUGUCUUUUCAAGCAUGCCAAAAAUCAUCCUAGUUUUGUAAUAUGUGGUUUGUGUCCAAUUAAUUUACUGUGGACCUUGCAUUUUUGUACCCAAUAUUUGAUAGCUGCCUUCUUUUGAACGAAGAUUCAUUG